UUCGAUCGAUCAUAUGUUUUCUUUGUGUUAAUUUUUCUUCAAUAAUUUGAAUUAUUGGGUUAUAAGAUUUUUUUAUUCGGUGCAUUAAAAUCAAUAUAAAGAACUGAAGUAUUAUACUCCUUAGAGAAUCUGCAAAAAGUAUCACAAUUUUUUUUUUAAGACUUUCUAAUAGGUGCAUACAAAGUGCACGUGCUUGCAUUUUAUUUUAUAUUUUUCCCAGUUUAAGUGCAAAACUAAGUUUAUUAAAGUGAUUUAGGCUAUAGUUUUAGCCUUUGAGGUUUAGAUACACGGUCGCCUGAUGACAAAAAGGUGUAAAUUGGCGUAAAAAACAACAUUUUCCAUAAGUGUUAGGUUGGUUGAUAGUUGCACUUUGGUUAUUUUUUAUAAACAUUUUAUCAUGAAAACUGUGACUGUUAACUGUACUGUAUUCUACAGAAUGCUUAAGAUAUUAGUAAAUUUCAAACAGUUCCCGAUACAGUGCAAAUGUGUUGUAAAAAGUUCUACAGUGCGUCUUUUCUUAGUGAUUUGUGUAAAUAGUACAUGAUAUUGAAUGAAAUUUGUGCAGUGAGGCUUUGGUGUUUAUAAAGUGCGUUUUGGAUGCAGUGCUAAUAGAUGGCGUUGAUGGAAUCAUUGCUGAGCAAGUGUUGUCCUUGUUUCGCUACUCGACGCUAGGUGGCGCUGGUCCGUGGGGUUCAGCACACGAUAAGAGCCGAUAAAAGAUAAAAUUCUUAUACUGAACGAUCAACUCAAUGGCAAUAUAUGGGCUCCCUGUCUGCAGCGACCCGACCGCCGUGUAUACUGAUUAUUACCACUUUCAGCAAUGAUACAACGCGGCGUUGAAUGCAGAUUUAAUUGAAAUUCAAUCACCAAGCCACUUUGUUACAUUUUUUUUAUAAUUCAACUACUUUUGUAUCGACCAUCUUGAAUAGUGUGAAACCUGAACUUAAUACUGGUCACUAUUUCAAAAUAUAUAUUUACUCCAUCUUGGGCGAUGUCGAGCGGUAUUAAUUUCACUUUCUGCUAUUUUAUUGCAAUCAUUUUGUAACUAAGAGUGGAAGGCUGUUUAGUAGCUGUAUUCUGUAAUUAGGAUCCAAUGGAAACAUCGAAAAUGAUUCUCUCGACAUAUUUUUGACCUUACUUUACAACAUUAUUCGAUGUUUCUUCUGGAAUAUAUAAUGCUCACGCUCUCCGAAUUUGUACUACUUUAGUUUAGUUUAAGAAUUACAAUUUAAUUGUUUUGAAUUAUAUUGACUAACAUUUACUAAAAGUUCUAACGCAUGACUUAAUAAAUUAUUUUUAUAAUAUAAACUCGCGAGGGGUGCAUGACUCUUAAUGUUAUCAAAUGUAUUUUUUAAUUUGUACGCAGAAAGAUGAUCUGCGAGACUGACAUGUUAGCUUUUAUUUAAUUAUUUUCCGAUUAUUGUAUUAUGAUUGAUUAUUUUAUAAUGUUUACUUCAACAAUUAACUGUCGAUUGAGCUUCGAUUAGAUAUAUUGUCAUUCGCCUUAAGUCAUAAAGCUUGAUUUUGGGUUCAAUUCAAUUAAUAAUUAAAUUGAGUUUUAGUUUUUGCAUGGCAGUACCAAGGAAUUGCAUUCUUAUUUUUUAUGGUGAAAAAUUUUGAUUAUGCAGCCUUAUUGUUAUUAAAUAAAUGAGAUUUGUAUUUAGUAUGAUUUCAGGUCAUUAUUAAAUAAAUAAGUUUCAUCUGAAAAGGUG